AACUGAGCAUGACUGCGUCCUUUAAUCAUGCAACAACACGAAACAAAGAUUAGCGUUUGGUUCUGCCUGCAGAAAAACACAAGUCUGUAACAAACAGGAAGGACUACAUUGCAUAACGUUGCCUUGCAGACACAAUGAAACCCGUCUACCUGAUUGUCUCAGUUCUCACAGCGACGGUUCUGACUAAAGGAUCUAUUGAAUGUAAUUUUGGCGACUCGACUGGGACUCGUCAGUGUCACGGCGCAGAAGGACAACAGCUGAUUUUCCAUCUUUCAAAUGAAACAAACACCGAGUUAAAGUUGAUCAAAGAUGCAAAAUACAGGAUUUUUAAGAAAACUGAAAAUGGGACAGUGACACUGGAUGAAAAGUACAUUAGACAGUUUGACCAAAUCCAGAAGGGAAAAUUAAAUUUAGGACAAGUCACGAACAGACACACUGGACAGUAUCUGCUGGAAGAAUAUGGAUUUGGAUCGGAUGACGGGAAAAUAAUGAAAAAAGUUGAAAUUAAUCUGACAAUUCAUGCUCAGGUACCAAAGCCAACCGUCUCUCAGGUGUGUUUUUCACCUGAACUGAUGGCAGUCACCUGCUCCUCCAAGGGAGAUGGAACAGAAAUCAGCAUGACAGUCGACGAUAACGUUCUGAUACAAAGCAAACACGGUCAGUCCCUCAGCAGCACCGGCCAAAACUCCAGAGCCUCGAGUGUUUCCAUCAACAUUCACGGACAGCUGACCGGAAAUCUUGUUUGCCAAGUUUGGAACAAUUACAGCAGAAAUAAAACAAUUUUUCCUCUGACGGCGUGCAAAGGUUCUGACAUUGUUAUACCUGUACUGGCUUGCAUUGUCACAACCUUUGUUGUCUUGGCUUUGGGACUGCUUGGAGUCAAACUGUGUAAAAGAACAAAACCCACUCCAGCAAAAAGUGGGGACGAUGAGGAAGGAAUUGUCUACUCAGAUGUGAAACUGAAGCAACCUCCACAGAGACCUCAGUCCAGCACAUGAAAACGCUAAUUAACCUUCUGACACAGUUUUCUAACAUCAAUCAUUUAUUUUUGGCGCUCGGUCAUUUUUCUUUUUUAGCAUGCAUCAAAAAUGUCGCUCCUUAAAAUAUUAGGAUUUUUUUUUUUGUUAUUUGUAAGAUAAUGAAUAGAAUUUAAAAACAGUGUUUAACAAUCUUUAUUUUAAUUUUAAAUAUACUAAAAACAAAAUUUCCUCCAUGGCAGCAAUCAAAGUUAAACAAUUAUAAUAUUUGUUUGAAAGUUUUUAUUUACAGUUAAUUUUUUUUCCUGUAACAAAUGUUAUUUUGUAGCAGAUAAAUAUAUAGUGUAUCAGAUUAGUGACAUCUAGAGGAAGAACGGUGUUAUUGCAGGAACUAAAUACAUGAAAACUGUACGUUUUUACCACUUUUUGACAACAGAGGGGAAGUAAAAUGUCCCACUUAUUUUCAUCAAAUUUAAAUUCCAUCUUUUUUGUUUAGAUGAUAAUCAGGUUUGUUUGUGCGUUGUGCAUUAUUAGGUUUAUCAUUUGUAAAGAUGGAUCAUGUUCUGUAUUUUAAUUAUGAAGAAACGUUCUGUUAAAAAUGUGACAGUUUUAGCAUUUAUCUAAACUUAUGAAGGGGAUGUUGUUGAAUGAAGUUGUUGGUACUGAUUCCCAGAAUGUCCACAGCCGACAGCUAAACUAUAGAAGACUGAAUCAGAACAUGGGUGUGCAGAGAAUAUAGAUGUCCAGACAGACUGGGUGCUGUGGAACAGGAAUUGUGUGUGUUUGUACAUGUGUAUGAUUCUUUGUGAAUAUGUGUUAAAGGUUGUGUGUGUGAAUGGGUCUUAGGUGUGUUUGUAAGUAUCACAAUGUGGUUGUGGGUGCUUGGUUAGGGUUAGGGUGAUGAGGAAGAGGCUGCCCCACAACAGCCCAGGCUAAUAGUAUCAGAGCAAUGUGGCCACAAAUUCCUGCCUGCAGCCCCAAGAGGAUGGACAUGAGCCCUGAGAGACCCCAGCCCAGCAUGCCAUGAUGCUGCUGAUGCAGGCCAACCAGGAGCGAGACGACCCUGACCCCAAAGGGUCCACACCAGUGAGGAAUCCUCAUCUGCACCUUAUCUGGUUCAACCUCGAGCUCGCCUUACCACCAUGGGGAGAAGAGCUUUCAGAUGCUCUGCUCCGCGGCUCUGGAACUCACUUCCCUCUGCCAUUAGAAAUACGGACUCUUUUCCAUUAUUCAAGGCACACCUCAAAACCCACUUAUUCAAACAAGUUUAUUCCCUUUAGACCUAGACUUUAGAAUGUUUCGCAUUUUGAUUGUAACGUGAUGAAGGAACCAUUUCUCAGGGUUAUUAUCCUCUUACAACUGUUCCCUUUUGACACAGUGCCAGAGUGCAUGAAACAGCCUCAAGGUCAUGCAUUCGCUUCUAAACUGUUUACAUCCCAGCAAUGAAGACAGAAGAACGAAGAAUGAACUCUUCUCUUUUAAUUAAUCAAAGAACUCUGUUUUAAUAAGCUAAUCCAUCAAAGUGUUAGUCAAUAACACUUUAAUGUGACCGACCAGUGAAUUCAAAAUAUUGAUUACUUUAUUAUGAUCCUGUAGAAAUAAUAAGUACUGUGACUUUAAGGAUUCCAACAGGACUCAUUUCACGUAGUGUUAAAAAGACAUAACACAUUCCUAUCACUGAUCCAAUCAAAUUCUUACAGAUCUGACGGAGGCGUGCUUCUGAUGGUGUUUGGUCAUUUUCAUUCGACAAUAAACCAUAACAUCCGAGGUAUAAAACUAUGCCACGUCAGCUCUAAUGCCAGUUCAAAGCAUUCCAGAGUGAGUGUUGGAGUGGCCAACCUUUAACCUAUAACUUUUCAACCGAAAGAACCAACGACAAGCUGAAAAAUCCAGUCGCUAUAACAACCAGCAGCAACAACAGCUCCUUUCAGAAUACAAGCUCCACCGACCCAGGCUUGGGUCUGACCAGACGCCAAUAAAAGUAUUGUGUGCCGGAAGUAACUCGAGACGGGUCUGAUCGGAACUGAGGUUUCAUCUACCAGCUCGGCUCCCAGAGAGGGUUCACUGGACCUCGAUAUUCCUGUUAUACAGAGGACUUCCACCAAAGACAAAGGUAGACCGACAUGAUGGUGUCUCAUACUGUUUCUGAAACUAACCAAAGCUUAAUUCAAAACAACAUCCUCAGUUCCCGUCAGAACUAAUUGCUUCUUCGGAUUUGCUGGUUCUGAUUACAUUACACGUCAUCCAUUCACCGCCUCAUCCAUUUUAGUUACACUAUACAUUUAGUUUUAAAGUCAGUCUAGUUUAAUUUGUUAGUAAUAAAAUUCUUAACUUUUAAGCCUGACUCUCUCUAUUCUGUGUCUCUGAGUGAAUACAUAACGGUUACCUAAUCUCUGCAAUAAAAAGAUUCAAUCUUCUGGUAACCCUCGAUCCGUAAGGUGGAUUCUAUAUUUCCUAUGGAAUCCCACGCCUUAUGGCUCAUUAAUUAAAAAUGCAAUAACCUCUCAUUUCAUUACAUGAUGUAUCUUAUUUGUUCUUAUUGCUCUAUCAACCUCUGUUAUUUUUAUUGUUUUUAUCUUUGUUUAAUUGUAAGGUGACCUUGGGUUUGAGAAAGGCGCCCUCAAAUAAAAUGUAUUAUUAUAUUAUUAUAAUAAAAUAAAUAUCACACAUUGGACAUUCAGAAGCACAAUAAUGCACUGCCUGACUAAAAAAAAAGUUGCUACCAAAAAUACAAAAAGGUCACAUUCUAAUAUUUCGUGGGGUUAAGGUCUAGGCUCUGUGUGAAAAUGGCGUCUCAUGCUCCCCGAACCACUCUUUCACUAUUUGAGCCCGAUGAAUCCUGGCAUUGCCAUCUUGGAAUAUACCUGUGUCAUCAGGGAAGAUGGCAUAACCUGGUCAUUCAGUAUAUUCAGGUAGUUAGCUGACCUCAUUCUUGGAGCGCAUUCUGUUGCUGAACCCAGACCUGACCAACUGCAGCAACCCCAGCAUAGCACUGCCCCCACAGGCUUGUACAGUAAGCACUAGGCAUGAUGGGUGCAUCACUUCAUCUGCCUCUCUUCUUACCCUGAUGCAGCCAUCACUCUGGAACAGGGUCCAUCUGGACUCAUCAGACCAGUUUUUAAUAAUGCUUUGAACAGAUCUAACUAUUUGGGGCAGCAGUAGCUCAACAGGUUGAGUGGGAUGUCCAGUAAUUGGAAGGUUGCAGGUGCGAUCCCGGCCCCGGACAGAGAAUUCUGCUGUUGUGUCUUUGGGCAAGUGGUGGCCGGAGGGACCGGUGGUGCCUGUGCUUGGCAGCCUCGCCUCUGUCAGUGCGCCCCAGGGCACCUGUGGCUACAUCGUGGUUCUUCCCACCAGUGUGUGAAUGUGUGUGUGAAUGGAUGAAUGAUGCACUGUAGUGUAAAGAGCUUUGGAGACCUUACUCUGAGAGGCGCUAUACAAGUGCGGGUCAUUUAUCAUUUAUAUUUGGUGGUUUAACCUCCCAAUCCAACCCCUUAAAGCUGAGUUUUAAGCAGGGAGGCAUUGGGUCCCAUUUUUAAAGUCUUUGGUAAGAUCUGAUUGGGAUUUGAACUUGACCUUCUUCUUCCGGCUCUUGGAGAGUACAGAUGCUUUUUUCCUCCUUUCCUCCCUAUCUUAUCCCCAAGGCUCUUUGUCUGUCUUUGGGUGUACGGCGCUUCUGCAUUUUUUCUGGAAACUGGAAAUUAUUAAAAAUGGACCUGGUCAGUUGGUCUCUCAACGCAAUUGACAACAUUUGUUCAAUGUUGAGAACGGGAGAAGGGGCUCCUGGAUGCCCCUAUGGGACAGAUCCAGUUGGGCAUAUCAUGGACUCCUGGAAACAGUGGAACUUGAUCUGCUUAUCUUAACUGUCUGUAGAGGAUUCUGAAGACGUCUGGAUAUUCGUGGUGUUGGUGUCAGGUUUACUGCUUUUUGGCCUGGGAGGUUAUCUGGCUUACCGAAUUAAAAUUAAUGAGCUGUCGAGGAAUAUUGGCUCAAUCCCGGAGCUCAGAGACGGAUUACACCGCGCUGUGAAUGCACAGGCUCAUAUAAUUGUUGAGAUGAGUCGUAAGCUUGGAACUUUGGCUGAGAUUCAGACUCUGGCACAGAAGGUGGAUUUCAUCAAGGAACGAGUUGACGAAUCAGCACAGAUUGGGAUGGAUUAAUUUACGCCAUUAUUGGAUUAAGAGGGGUUGAGGACCAACGGAAGACAGAGAGGAAAUUAUCUCUGUCUGGCCCCAAAACAAUUUCUUAUCUGAAUCUGGUGCCCUUGAGCCUGUGAAGCUGAACCGAUUACUCCCCCUCACAGGAAAUGUGGAAUGCUGCUGUCGCCAUGGCAACUCUGUCUCCCUAUCCCAGCCUGGGCGGGACUGGGACCGAAGGCCGUUGAAUCGUUCCAGGAGUCACUGUGCUCUCUAAAACCUAAUGACCUCCUCCCCCUGUCCAAACGGAGGUGACGAGCGCUGCUUAUCGUGGCUGCAUGCAUUGAUGUGUGGAGAGUCCCCAACCCUACCACCCCACCUAGUGGACACUUAUGUUGUGUGAUGUCUGAAGUCUUCUGCAUUUCUGUCUGAGGUGUUUUUUGCAUAGCAAAGCUGCCCCCCCUGUGGAGGGUAACUCUGAAGUCCCUUUUUUUACUCAUCCUGACUCAAUCCUCAUGUAAACUCUCUAUUAAGGUAGCGCAACUCGGGUUGCGAAUGACAACAGUCACCAAUUCUUGUCAUGUGUCUAUGCCUGUGUAUGUAUGUCUUAUCUCAGAAUUGUGUGUACUGAAACUCUAAUUUCUCUCUGGGAUUAAUAAAGUAUCUUUGAAUUUGAAUUGAAUUCGAUUUGAAUCUCCCAGUCCCAGGGUAGACACUCUACCACUAGGCCACUGAGAAAAAGUGGGUGGAGCCAAUUUUCUGUGAUAAUCAUCACACAACAAUUCUGGAUAUAGCUAUUUUCAGAGAUGUAGAGAUCCAAAUCUCACUUCUUUUGGCAUCAUCGAUCUGACA